rnacentral:rRNA from 1 species
GGCCUACGGGUGGCUGCAGUCGAGGAUCUUCGGCAAUGGGCGCAAGCCUGACCGAGCGACGCCGCGUGUGCGACGAAGGCCUUCGGGUUGUAAAGCACUGUCGAGGGGGAGGAAGGCGCAAGCUUGACCUAUCCCUGGAGGAAGCACGGGCUAAGUUCGUGCCAGCAGCCGCGGUAAGACGAACCGUGCGAACGUUGUUCGGAAUCACUGGGCAUAAAGGGCGCGUAGGCGGACCUUCAAGUCAGGGGGGAAAUCCUCCAGCUCAACUGGAGAACUGCCUUUGAUACUGAGGGUCUCGAGUGAGGUAGGGGUGUGCGGAACUGAUGGUGGAGCGGUGAAAUGUGUUGAUAUCAUCAGGAACUCCGGUGGCGAAGGCGGCACACUGGACCUUUACUGACGCUGAGGCGCGAAAGCCAGGGGAGCAAACGGGAUUAGAUACCCUAGUAGUCAC